rnacentral:rRNA from 1 species
GACGAACGCUGGCGGCGUGCUUAACACAUGCAAGUCGAACGGAAAGGCCCUGCUUUUGUGGGGUGCUCGAGUGGCGAACGGGUGAGUAACACGUGAGUAACCUGCCCUUGACUUUGGGAUAACUUCAGGAAACUGGGGCUAAUACCGGAUAGGAGCUCCUGCUGCAUGGUGGGGGUUGGAAAGUUUCGGCGGUUGGGGAUGGACUCGCGGCUUAUCAGCUUGUUGGUGGGGUAGUGGCUUACCAAGGCUUUGACGGGUAGCCGGCCUGAGAGGGUGACCGGCCACACUGGAACUGAGACACGGUCCAGACUCCUACGGGAGGCAGCAGUAGGGAAUCUUCCGCAAUGGGCGAAAGCCUGACGGAGCAACGCCGCGUGAGUGAUGAAGGUCUUCGGAUCGUAAAACUCUGUUAUUAGGGAAGAACAAAUGUGUAAGUAACUAUGCACGUCUUGACGGUACCUAAUCAGAAAGCCACGGCUAACUACGUG